CAUGAAAAGAAAUAAGAGGCGUCUUUCUUUUUUGGUGGUCACCCAAACAAAAAAAAAAAGCUUGGACGCCCAACAAUCUCUUACGCGGAGUCCCUAAUCUCUCCCUCUCUUUGGAAGAGAUUUUUAGAGCUUUUCCUUUGCUGGAUUUUGGGUGUCAAAGGGAGGCUCCUCUGCUGGUUAUAUAGUAGAAUAUUGGAGAAGAAAAGAUCUUCUCAAUGAGAAAAAGAGAAGGAAG
rnacentral:lncRNA from 1 species